AAAACAAUUAAAAAUCAAUUUUUUUUCUGUUUCUUCUUCUUUCUCCCCGACUGUUCUUCUUCUCUUUCUCGAUGGAUGCUUCUUCUUUAUUCUUCUUCUCUUUAAUGGCAUGAUACUUUUCUCAAGCGAAGGUGGGGAUCUGGGCAACGGCUAAGGUAGGGAUCGAGUUGAGGACUAGAAGAUGCAGGUGAAAUAAAUGAUGUAGGUGAACAAAUGCGGGGCUGGUAACAGUGUCGGAGAAGACGAGAGGCUCCGAUGGUCCACCGAUUGGGGUCAACAGGAACGGAGCUAAAGGUCGCGAUUAGAGAAGAUUCAAAUUGAUUGGGUGGCGUCGAGGUGGUUAUAAGGUGGAUCGACUAGCAAAUGUGAAAGAUGUUGUUCAUAUUUUUUGUUCAUUGUUCAUAUUUUUGUGGUACUUUUUUUAUAAUUAAAAAAUAUGAUGGAAGUAUGAUGCUGAAGAAGAUAAGGAGAGGCAAGGGGUUUGGUUCUACUUAUCAGAUCUGGUUUAUUUUUUUCGUUCAGAUUUGUUCUACUCUUCGAAGCUUGGGUUGGCAUUGCAGGAUGUCAAAGCUUGGGUGAUGGGCUUGCUUAGUUUGUGUUAGGGACAUAUCUGACUAUGGAAGUUAUUGGUUGUUUGUUGAUUUUGAUUGGGAUUUUGAUUGUGGUUUCUGGGAUUUUGAUUUUGAAAUCAUAUAGUUAAUCUUAUUUUUUGUUUA